UACGUAGGGUGCGAGCGUUGCCCGGAUUUAUUGGGCGUAAAGGGUGCGUAGGUGGCGCGGUAAGUCGGGUGUGAAAUUUCGGAGCUUAACUCCGAAACUGCAUUCGAUACUGCCGUGCUUGAGGACUGGAGAGGAGACUGGAAUUUACGGUGUAGCAGUGAAAUGCGUAGAGAUCGUAAGGAAGACCAGUGGCGAAGGCGGGUCUCUGGACAGUUCCUGACACUGAGGCACGAAGGCCAGGGGAGCAAACGGG
rnacentral:rRNA from 1 species